ACGCUGGCGGCACGCCUAGCACAUGCAAGUCGAACGGAGAUAUUGAGCUUGCUCAGAUAUCUUAGUGGCGGACGGGUGAGUAACACGUGAGCAACCUGCCUUUAAGGAAGGGAUAGCUUCUGGAAACGGAUGGUAAUACCUUAUGAAAUAUAUGUAUGGCAUCAUAUAUAUAUCAAAGAUUUAUCGCUUAAAGAUGGGCUCGCGGCUGAUUAGCUAGAUGGUGAGGUAAUGGCUCACCCAUGGCGACGAUCAGUAGCCGGACUGAGAGGUUGAACGGCCACAUUGGGACUGAGACACGGCCCAGACUCCUACGGGAGGCAGGCAGUGGGGGAUAUUGCACAAUGGGGGGAAAACCCCCUGAUGCAGCGAUGCCGCGUGGAGGAAGAAGGUUUUCGGAUUGUAAACUCCUGUCUUUGGGGACGAUAAUGACGGUACCCAAGGAGGAAGCUCCGGCUAACUACGUGCCAGCAGCCGC
rnacentral:rRNA from 1 species